rnacentral:lncRNA from 1 species
GUUGGCCACCUUGCCGUGAUCGUUGUUUGUUUUUAUUUGUGCUUUUUAAGAAUAUUUUUUUAAUUCGGAUACUUUUAUAAUAACUUUAAUAGUAUUAUUAACAUAGUGCAUAAAAUCAGUUGGAGUAGCAGAAGCAAUGUAGAUAAAAAAUCUGCAGGAAUAACGUUUCAAAGCUUUCCAGAAGAUCCUGCGAAGAAGGCAUGAAGUAUUGAUCAGAUUUGUUAAUAGAGCAGUAUGUUCAAAACAUUUUUUAGAAAAAGA